rnacentral:rRNA from 1 species
GACGAACGCUGGCGGCGUGCCUAAUACAUGCAAGUCGAACGAAGCUGUUUUAACUGGUGCUUGCACCGACUUAAACAACUGAGUGGCGGACGGGUGAGUAACACGUGGGUAACCUGCCCAGAAGUGGGGGAUAACAUUUGGAAACAGACGCUAAUACCGCAUAAAAGUCAAAACCACAUGGUUUUGAUUUAAAAGAUGGCCUUUGUGCUAUCACUUCUGGAUGAAACCGCGGCGUAUUAGCUAGUUGGUAAGGUAACGGCUUACCAAGGCAAUGAUACGUAGCCAAACUGAGAGGUUGAUCGGCCACAAUGGGACUGAGACACGGCCCAUACUCCUACGGGAGGCAGCAGUAGGGAAUCUUCCACAAUGGGCGCAAGCCUGAUGGAGCAACACCGCGUGAGUGAAGAAGGGUUUCGGCUCGUAAAACUCUGUUGUUAAAGAAGAACGUAUCUAAGAGUAACUGCUUAGGUAGUGACGGUAUUUAACCAGAAAGCCACGGCUAACUACGUGCCAGCCGCCGCUGUAA